GUUUGUUCAUGGCUCAGAUUGAACGCUGGCGGCAGGCCUAACACAUGCAAGUCGAGCGGUAACACAGAGAGCUUGCUCUCGGGUGACGAGCGGCGGACGGGUGAGUAAUGUCUGGGAAACUGCCUGAUGGAGGGGGAUAACUACUGGAAACGGUAGCUAAUACCGCAUAACGUCGCAAGACCAAAGAGGGGGACCUUCGGGCCUCUUGCCAUCAGAUGUGCCCAGAUGGGAUUAGCUAGUAGGUGGGGUAACGGCUCACCUAGGCGACGAUCCCUAGCUGGUCUGAGAGGAUGACCAGCCACACUGGAACUGAGACACGGUCCAGACUCCUACGGGAGGCAGCAGUGGGGAAUAUUGCACAAUGGGCGCAAGCCUGAUGCAGCCAUGCCGCGUGUAUGAAGAAGGCCUUCGGGUUGUAAAGUACUUUCAGCGGGGAGGAAGGUGAUGAGGUUAAUAACCUCAGCAAUUGACGUUACCCGCAGAAGAAGCACCGGCUAACUCCGUGCCAGCAGCCGCGGUAAUACGGAGGGUGCAAGCGUUAAUCGGAAUUACUGGGCGUAAAGCGCACGCAGGCGGUCUGUCAAGUCGGAUGUGAAAUCCCCGGGCUCAACCUGGGAACUGCAUUCGAAACUGGCAGGCUAGAGUCUUGUAGAGGGGGGUAGAAUUCCAGGUGUAGCGGUGAAAUGCGUAGAGAUCUGGAGGAAUACCGGUGGCGAAGGCGGCCCCCUGGACAAAGACUGACGCUCAGGUGCGAAAGCGUGGGGAGCAAACAGGAUUAGAUACCCUGGUAGUCCACGCCGUAAACGAUGUCGACUUGGAGGUUGUGCCCUUGAGGCGUGGCUUCCGGAGCUAACGCGUUAAGUCGACCGCCUGGGGAGUACGGCCGCAAGGUUAAAACUCAAAUGAAUUGACGGGGGCCCGCACAAGCGGUGGAGCAUGUGGUUUAAUUCGAUGCAACGCGAAGAACCUUACCUACUCUUGACAUCCAGAGAACUUUCCAGAGAUGGUUUGGUGCCUUCGGGAACUCUGAGACAGGUGCUGCAUGGCUGUCGUCAGCUCGUGUUGUGAAAUGUUGGGUUAAGUCCCGCAACGAGCGCAACCCUUAUCCUUUGUUGCCAGCGGUCCGGCCGGGAACUCAAAGGAGACUGCCAGUGAUAAACUGGAGGAAGGUGGGGAUGACGUCAAGUCAUCAUGGCCCUUACGAGUAGGGCUACACACGUGCUACAAUGGCGCAUACAAAGAGAAGCGACCUCGCGAGAGCAAGCGGACCUCAUAAAGUGCGUCGUAGUCCGGAUUGGAGUCUGCAACUCGACUCCAUGAAGUCGGAAUCGCUAGUAAUCGUAGAUCAGAAUGCUACGGUGAAUACGUUCCCGGGCCUUGUACACACCGCCCGUCACACCAUGGGAGUGGGUUGCAAAAGAAGUAGGUAGCUUAACCUUCGGGAGGGCGCUUACCACUUUGUGAUUCAUGACUGGGGUGAAGUCGUAACAAGGUAACCGUAGGGGAACCUGCGGCUGGA
rnacentral:rRNA from 1 species